ACACUCCAGGAGAACUGUUUUCAGUCCUGAAGCACAGCAGCUUGGAGAAAGGAUAGUGAACUGCCUCUCUUGAAGAGACACCCUGGCUCCAUGAGUGGGUGACGGAUGGACCGUAAUAAAAGGAGCAGAUGGAUUCACAUCUCAACAAAAUGAGAGAAGAUACAGAUGUACCUUGAGGAGUGUUGACAGCUGCUGUGACUCAUUUCCAUAAUCCUCCUCAUUACAAUUAUUGCAGGAUUACUAUUUUGAAUUAAUUUAUUCCAGAUUAUGCCCCAGAAGGCCUUAUUUGGUUUUAUGGACUCAAGCUAAAAAGAGAGUCUUAAGAAACAGUUUUUUUUUCAUCAGGCCAAGCUGCAUUUCUACCAAGCUGGAACAUCCAAGAACUUUAGUGAACUCAGACACUGCCCCUGUGUAAUCUGGAAAAGCUGCUUCUCUUCUGGGAUCACCCAGCUCCAGCCUAGCAAGAAAAUUACUGCCUGUUUUAUUUGUGAAAAAGAAAUGGACUCUUCUAAUGGUGAUCAUAGAAAUUUUCUUCAAGAAAAGCAUUGAUUUGGACUUGCAAUGAUUUUAUCAUUGACCCAGUAACUCCGGGAGUACAAGGCCUCGGGGAGGAAAUCCAGAAUCAGUAAAGAAAGGGACCAACUUUUGAUUUAAGAAGCCUAGAAUGACCAUACCGUGUGGAAUAUUACACCUGUAAAAUGCAAUGUCCUUCCCUUGAUAAACCUCAUCAUCUACAAAUUUGACAUUAUUUGUAUCAAAUACAUUAAGGCAGAAAAUAAAACCUCGCCAAGUUUAUGAGCCAAGAAAUAGCUGAAUUAUAAUGCCUGGAACUUCAAAGAGAAAGAGGAGUGAAUGAGCUAAACACUGAAGUCUAAGGAAAGUCUUGGAGGUUUCCAGAAAGCAUGUGGGUUGUGCCACCAGAAAAAAAGGAUGAAAUGUCUGACUUUACAAUAAUCAUGAAUGGGAUCCUGGGCCCAAUUUUCAGCGCUACAGAAAAACACAGCACAACAAAAGAAAAACCAUGAAACUCAUGAGAUGGUUAUGGAAUAUCAUGGCCCUUCCCUUUCGUUCAGUAAGACCUCUUAAGAGUUCAGUCAUAGCCUUUGCUCAACCCAGUUUAAGUCAUCAGGACCUCCUCUUCCUCCCUUCCUUCCCUCCUUCCUUCCUUGAUUCCUUUCUCUUUCUUUCUUCCUUCCUUUCUUUCCUUUUUUCUUUCUCCUUUCAAGUUUAUUUAUUGACAUUUUUAUUUUAUUCUUGAGAUUAUAAUUAUUUUUCCACUUCCCUUUCUUUCCUCUAGACUCUCCUAUGUAUCCCUCCAUGCUCUCUUUCAAAUUCAUGGCUUCCUUUUUUUUUUCAUUACUUGUCUCGUUACAUGUAUGUAUGCAUAUGUAUAUACAUGUAUAUUCCAAAAUAUA